rnacentral:lncRNA from 10 species
CCCUCUGUGGAGGAGCCUGAGAGAAAGGCUCAUGGAGGGCAGAGGGUGGAGGGCGUGGGACCAAGUUCCUUAGAUAAGGCUGUGGCCCCAUGGUAAGGGUCUGGACGGGGAAGAGCCUCGGAUCAUCAGCCAGUGUCAGGUGUCACAGCAUAGCCAAGCGACCAGACGAGCAGAUGAGACCUUGUUAAUCUCCAGUGGUGAUGAGUAACCGUUCUCUCUAUCACAUAUCACAUACUGGUGAUUCAUCCAGGUGGCGCUAGGAGGGAUCUUCGCCGCAGAGGGCAUUCGAGAGAUGACAACUCUAGACAUCCAUGCAACUUCUGUUCUUGUGCUCCUGCUGUUUUCAAAUUCCACAGUCACAGACUGCACCCUGGAAAACUCAGGACACCCUAGAGUGAACUGCUCUGAAGAACAAAGUUGCUACUUGCUUGCUACCUCUGGUUGCUACCCCUGGUUGUGUUUGGUUGCCACAUAAUGAAAUGAUUUUCCUUCCCUCUUUUAUUUCCUUUCUUUCUUUUUUUUCUGCUACAAAUGGAAAAAUAGUUUGAUCACCUUGAAUCUUUUCACCCUUGGUAUUCUCCCCCUUCACACCCGAGCACCGCCCCUUGAUAAAUGAGAACACGUGUACUGAAAUCGCAGACUUCACCCUCCAGACUCAUCGUCCUCAUGCUCUCAGGGGGGACAUGUUUCCUUUCAAACCUCCAGAAUAAAUUCAUCACAGCAGGAAGAAGAUUGUUUUUCUUAAAAAAAAUCAAA